rnacentral:rRNA from 1 species
UACGUAGGGGGCUAGCGUUGUCCGGAAUCAUUGGGCGUAAAGCGCGUGUAGGCGGUCCGGUAAGUCCGCUGUGAAAGUCGGGGGCUCAACCCUCGAAUGCCGGUGGAUACUGUCGGGCUAGAGUGCGGAAGAGGCGAGUGGAAUUCCUGGUGUAGCGGUGAAAUGCGCAGAUAUCAGGAGGAACACCGGUGGCGAAGGCGGGAUCCUGGGCCAGUACUGACGCUGAGGAGCGAAAGCGUGGGGAGCAAACAGG